UUCAAGUUCCUGGUUACUGACACAGUGGAUGGACCCGAUGCUUCCUCAAAAUGCAUUCGUGUGAGAUUGAUUUCUGGUAAAUCCAAUAACAAAGACAAAAACUCUAGGAAACAAAAAGAAAGAGAUGCAGGCAAGUUCCUUAGAUAUGGAUGAAGCACUGGAAGCUGAAUACAAUAGUCUUCUUGAUGACAUGGUAUUGCUUGUUGCCCAGAAGGGUGACCAGGCCAUGCGAAUGUCCCUUGAAGAUGCGAAUUUCCAAGUGUGUUUUGGGAUGAUGUUGUUGACUACUUUGAAGCAACAGCUGAGGAGACAAGCAAAUAAUAAAGAGGUGAGCAAAGAGAGUAUCAUUUUUGUUUUACUAAAUUCACCAAGUUUUGAAAUUGAGGCUUCCGAGUUCCGACCGGAAAUAUGGACUUCAAUUUAAGUAUUGUCUUUACUAACACAUAUUUUAUUCAGUCAUUACCUGAAAGUGAUAUCAACUCUUGAUUGCAUUUCAUAUUCGGUGUUGGUGAUGAUAUAUUCCCACUUUUAUAUAUUGUGUUAAGUUGCUCAUUGUUAUUGGGUGAAUGUUUCUACUGAUGUGAUUUAUAGAUUUCAUCUUUAUAAGGAGAACAAAGAUACCCAGGAAGCUUUAGAGGUGCUUCGACAUAUGCUUGGCAUCAGGAUGUGUUUUGCUCAUUUUGGAUAUAUUUAAUUAGAAGGCAUUCUGUUGAUGAUUAAUUAUGUGUAUGUUUGGAAAUGUGUUUGACUCGUCGCCACCACAAAAACUGAAUGUCUUGGCCAAUUACGUUAAUGAAGGAUUAUGUCUUGGCCAGCUACUGGGAAACAGAUUUGCAAUCACUUUGCGCAAAUCUCCAGUUUCCUAUUGUGCUAGUGGUGUUUGGCUAUGAAGCAGUGAAAUUGUACAAGGAUUAUUUGCAUGGGAAAGAAAGCUCUAUGAUGAAGUCAUGAACAUGAGCAAUAUCUUUUUCAAGGUGUGGAGAUUUCAGAAGUGGAACAGCGUGACCUAAGUCAUUACGGCGUCCUGAUGGGGAUAUCAGUUGGAGUUUUUUGGCUUGUCUCAUUGGUAAAUAUAGGCCUGAUAUUAAGGGGAGUUUCUGCAAUAGUCUGCUAUGAUGGUGCUGCAAAGCAGCUGGUAUGACAGGAUUUUGGCUCUCUGCCACUGCCACAGACCGCUAUCUGCCGUAGACAACACUGGUCUCUCUUUCAUGCAAAGAGGCAUAGAAAAUACUCAUUUUCCUGUGAUACCUUGACCAAAGAUGCUACUUAACUUUGAUUUUACCUCCUGUAUUGAUUCAUUUUGAUCAUGCGCAUGCGAUUGAAGUUCUCAGUAAGCUUGGUUUGGAGGAGUGCUUUGAGGGCAUCAUAUGCUUUGAAACGCUUAAUCCUCUCAACUCUUGUCGAGAAAUCCUCUGCAAACCAUCUGUUGAAGCCUUU